rnacentral:lncRNA from 1 species
UAUUUCUCGCAUUAGCUCGAGUGCCUCUUCUAUUUCCUACGUAUUUGUAUGAAUUUUUCUUAAAGGAAAUGAGCUUAAAGGAAGGUGUACCUGAGACGAGGAGGCUAUGUUGUUUGGUAUGUUGGUGUCCUUAGUCUCCAUUGACCCUAUCAUUCCCAUUACUUAGUGGAAGGGACCCACUUCUAGAGUCAUGCUUUGUACCUGCUAGUGGUGAUAAAAGGG